UGAAGUCCAGCAAGGUGCAGCAGCUUUGGGAAGGGCUGUGGGGAGCCAUCACUGAAGUCUUGAUCUCUCCAGGUUUCCAGAAUCGGAUGAGAGCCCUGGUGGUGACCCCCAUCACGAUGGUGAUCCUGUUCACUGUCCUGUUGGUAUCUACCUGUAUCAGAAAGAUGGCCAAGAAGCAGGAGACUAAGGCCCUGCACCCUAAGGCUGAAAGGCAGGAUCCUGUGGAGACGAUUGAUCCAGAGGAUUUU